CUGUUGUCUGCUGCAAUCUCAGUGUCAAUUUCUUAUUUCUUCUACCUGACCUCUUGUCACAAACUGUUUGAUUUUUGAAUAAUUCAACCAUAAAAAUGCUGAAAUACGAGGUCGCAUGUGAGAGGAUAAGAAAAAAUCUUCUGAACUGCUUACUUCAGUCGGAAUGUUACAAAGUGGAAAACCAGACACCUAGAGAGUGUUUGCUCAGAGGACACAACAUGCCAGAGGAAUGCAAAUGCCACCGAAUAGACCUUUACAAAUGUAAACGCUCACAGGUUGAUGCCAGAACAAGGUUUCGAGGAAAACAUGAUUUGUGAUCAGUUUGUCACUUCUGUAAAUAAUAUUUGUAUUGUUUGUAUAAAUUUUGAAUGGAAAUAAACAUGUGUGUGGAAUAAGU